GACGAACGCUGGCGGCGUGCCUAACACAUGCAAGUCGAACGGGGUAAUUUCUUCGGAGAUUACUUAGUGGCGAACGGGUGAGUAACGCGUGAGAAACCUGCCUUUCAGUGGGGGACAACAGUUGGAAACGACUGCUAAUACCGCAUAAUGCCAUUUGGGGGCAUCCCUGAAUGACCAAAGAUUUAUUGCUGAAAGAUGGUCUCGCGUCUGAUUAGCUAGUUGGUGAGGUAACGGCUCACCAAGGCGACGAUCAGUAGCCGGUCUGAGAGGAUGAACGGCCACAUUGGGACUGAGAUACGGCCCAGACUCCUACGGGAGGCAGCAGUGGGGAAUAUUGGGCAAUGGGGGAAACCCUGACCCAGCAACGCCGCGUGAAGGAAGAAGGCCUUCGGGUUGUAAACUUCUUUUACCAGGGACGAACAAAUGACGGUACCUGGAGAAAAAGCAACGGCUAACUACGUGCCAGCCGCCGCCGUAAGAC
rnacentral:rRNA from 1 species